UACAGAGGGUGCGAGCGUUAAUCGGAAUGAUUGGGCGUAAAGGGCGCGUAGGCGGAUGUUCAAGUGGUAGGUGAAAGACCUGGGCUUAACCUGGGGGGGUCCUAUCAGACUGAACGUCUAGAGUGAGGUAGAGGAAGGUGGAAUUUCUGGUGUAGCGGUGAAAUGCGUAGAUAUCAGAAAGAACAUCGAUGGCGAAGGCAGCCUUCUGGGCCUUUACUGACGCUGAGGCGCGAAAGCGUGGGGAGCGAACAGG
rnacentral:rRNA from 1 species